rnacentral:rRNA from 1 species
AUGGCUACCCGACGCGCGGGCCAGACGCCACCGCCGAGGAGAAGCGGACCGGCGGCCGCAACAACAUCGCCGGCCGUCACGCGUUCUGGGACGGCAAAGACUACGCCGCCGUCAUCGGCGCGUACCGGCUGGCGGAGUCCGGCAUCACGCCUGACCUCGUCGGCGACCGUCGCCGCCUUCUUGUCCCGCGCCCCCGUCCAGCAGCGCGCGGCCGUCGGGCUCCUCCUGCACCUGCGCCGGCGCCCGCCGAUCCCCCCGCCCCGCCGGAGGUGGAACUGCCGCCGGAGCAGUUAG